rnacentral:rRNA from 1 species
CCUACGGGAGGCAGCAGCUAAGAAUAGUCCGCAAUGGGGGAAACCCUGACGGUGCGACGCCGCGUGGGUGAUGAAGGCCUGACGGUUGUAAAGCCCUUUUCUCAGCGAAGAAUAAGAUGAGGAGUGGAACGCCUCAUCGAUGACGUUAGUUGAGGAAUAAGCCCCGGCCAAUUACGUGCCAGCAGCCGCGGU